UGGGGAAUUGUUCGCAAUGGGCGCAAGCCUGACGACGCAACGCCGCGUGGAGGAUGAAGACCUUCGGGUCGUAAACUCCUUUCGAUCGAGACGAAUGGCCUCCGGGUGAACAAUCCGGAGGAGUGACGGUACCGAGAGAAGAAGCCCCGGCUAACUCCGUGCCAGCAGCCGCGGUAAGACGGAAGGUGCAAGCGUUGCUCGGAAUCACUGGGCGUAAAGGGUGCGUAGGCGGCCUCGUAAGUCUGACGUGAAAGCCCCGGGCUCAGCCCGGGAAGUGCGCUAGAAACUGUGAGGCUCGAGUGCCGGAGGGGAGAGUGGAAUUCCUGGUGUAGCGGUGAAAUGCGUAGAUAUCAGGAGGAAUACCGGUGGCGAAAGCGACUCUCUGGACGGCAACUGACGCUGAGGCACGAAAGCGUGGGGAGCAAACAGGAUUAGAUACCCCCGUAGUCCCUGAGCGGGCUGGCAAGGCGCAU
rnacentral:rRNA from 1 species